CAUGUCUUGUGUUUUUAAUGAGCGAAUGUCACGUCUAAACACCCAAAACACGCGACAUUCAACCACUCAAGUAGAGAAUGUCGCGUGUUUUGUGUGUUUAGACGUGACAUUCGCUCAUUAAAAACACAAGACA
rnacentral:pre_miRNA from 1 species